ensembl:lncRNA
GCUAGAUUCAAACAUGGCCCUCCCCACACCCAGCCUCCUCCCCAUGCUGGGGUCCCCUUACCUCUGAACUGAGCUUGGCGCGUGAGCCGAAGGUGCCAGGUGGGCAAGGCUGGGGCACAGCUGAGCCCCUGGGGCAGUAGUGUCCUUGAGGACAUGGGCCAGUCCCCUCUGGAACAGAGAGACAAGUCAGCCUGGCCCCCGGGAAGUGCAGGACAGGGGUUGGACUGGACCAUGGAAUUUCGUCCUUCAGUCCCCGCAUUUCAAAGGGGACUUGACCCCAGAAGAUUAAAACCACCAGAAUGAUCCCUCAACUACACAUGCACUUGGGAAAAUUAGCAAAUUGACCGUAUCUUGCUGGUCCCCACGCCACAUACUCUGAUUUGAUGGCCUAUCCCUCGCCUCACCCCAGAAUGAGUAUGUACUAGGCCCCUGAUCACUUCACCACGACCCCUAAGGCGAGCUUCCUCAGGCUGCCUGGUGUUGCCCUCAGCCUGGCCCAUGUGGGAUAUAGGGAUCCUUUGGGUGUCCCGCCCGGGGUGGACAGUGGGUGGAGGAGACAAAUGCCAGAGCACUGUCACUUGCUGGGCCACGGUGUUCUGCCCACCAUGAAGGAACAUGGGUGGCCCAGGAGAGUUUCUUCAGGCUUCUCGGAGAGAACAGACUCAUUAGUCUCUGUGGGUUGACCAGUGAGUGGGUGGAGAGCCCCUGAAUCUGGCCUCUGCUUCCCAGUUUGGCGGCUCAGGAAAUGGGGUAGGGGCUCAGGGUUCAGUGGGGAGGGUCCAGUACCUUCAGUGCCAGCCUCCGGGUUGGGCCGGGUGGACCCUCUGGAGCAGAAGAAGCCCUCCCAGCACUGUCUGCCCGCCUCCGUGGCACUGGCCCUGGGGCAGAACCUGCCUCCGUCACAGACUCCACAUCCCGGCAGGCUGCCCAGUCCGGGCACUGGGCCUUAGGUGCCCAGGGGGCAGGGCUGCCAAUUGAGCCCUGUCCCUUCAGGGCAGUAGAAACCUGUGAAGGGAGCAAGGCUGAGACUAGGGCCUGAGGAGGAAGCUGGAAGGAGGCUGGAGAAGGGAAGACUCUGAGCCCUGGGGGCCCGGCAUGGAGGCCUGGCCUCUGCGCAGUGAGGGCUCCUGCCCAGGAAAGGUAAAGCUCCUUAAAUGGAGGGGUUGCCACCUUAUUAUCAGAAUAUACAGCCAGGGCCUUUAAGGGAAGCGGGGGAGAUAACUGCCUUGCAGGUGACUGCCCCCACUCCCCCUUUUUGCUUUGGCUCCUUUGCUUAGUGAGCCAGGCCGCUGGCAGGACACUAACCUCUUGGACACAGCUGUGGCCUCAGCCCUGGAACACAGUAGCGGCUAUUGGGACAGAUGUGACAUUUCGUUGUGUGGGUACUGGAGGUGUAGGAGCCAGGAGGACAUGGAGUGGGCUCAACCAUGCCCAGAGGGCUGAAGGGCCCUGGGGGGCAGGAUCUCCCAGAGACCCCUUCUAUGGUGGUGGCAGAGACAGUUCCCUCAGUGCAGGAAAUGCUGGAAAAAUGUGGGCCAAGCAAAAGGGCCUCAGCUGAGGAGAGUCACUGAGGAACACGCAGCCAAGUGCAGUGGACGGGCUUCAAGCACGGGCCUGAGACCCUUCCUAGCCUGCUCACUCCCGACUCCUCCCGCUUUGUGGCCUCCCACCCUCCAAGCUGGACCCCAGGAUCGUCAGCCUGGCCCUGCUCAGGGUGGGAUGGGAGGUGGCAGAGAUGAGAAG